AGAAUCUGUUUAGUCCCACUGCCUCUUUCAACCAGUGAGCAUAGCUAAAGGAAGUUAAUUAAAGAACUUUGAUCCUGAGUGCAUAGGUCAGUUUGCCAAAGUGAUUUUCACUGAACAGCUGUUUCACUGAACUAAAGUUGUACUUUAGAACUAAAACAGUAGUUUCACUGAACUAAAACUGAAUAGUUGCUACUUCUGUGGGUGAAAUGUUACUUUGAUACAAGUAUAGCAACAGAGGAAGGGAAUUUUAGAUUAACUACUGUGCUUCAGUUUCUCAGUAGCUGAAGGCCACGCUUAUAGUCAAGGCAUCGAGAUAGGACCAAGUCAGGCUGUACUCUCUUUGACAGAACUGUUUUAAAUGCAUGGGAAUUACUGACAGAGGGAGCACAGGAGACUGAAACUUCAAAGGGUACUCACAUGUGCGUGCCUGCGUGCUCAGCCACUUCAGUCGUGUCUGACUGUUUGCAACCCUAUGGAACAUAGCCUGCCAGGCUCCUCUGUCCACGGGAUUCUCCAGACAAGCAUGCUGGAGCGGGUUGCCGUUCUAUUCUCAAGGGGUCUUCCCAACUCACUAUAUAGGUUUGUACCAUCCUUCCAGCCUUAUUUUCCACUUGUGAUGUGGUAAAAAGAGAUCCGAACUGUGAGACAGGGGACUGCAUUUAAAUCUGAGUGUUUUGUGGCAGAUUCAUUUCGAUAUUUGGCAAAACUAAUACAAUAUUGUAAAGUUUAAAAAUAAAAUAAAAAAAAUAAAUCUGAGUGUUGCUACU
rnacentral:lncRNA from 1 species